AGAACUCAAUGAUAGAAGUAGCCCUGCAUUUGUUGCUCUUGAGGCACGAGUCGUUGCAGUGUAUGAUGUUAUCUUCAGAGCAACCUAUGGAGUUCUUUUCAUCCGCACUUUCGUCAUAAAAUUUAGCCCAGCUGGGUCAUUAACACGAAUGUCUAAUACUGACGCAGAGGUAGGUAUUGAGUUCAACAGUACCUCAUCCCCAGAGCAGAUCCCACAGCCUACCUCUGUUGCA